GAUGAACGCUGGCGGCGUGCUUAACACAUGCAAGUCGAACGAUGAAGCCCCUGCUUGCAGGGGUGGAUUAGUGGCGAACGGGUGAGUAACACGUGAGCAACCUGCCCCUGACUCUGGGAUAAGCGCUGGAAACGGUGUCUAAUACUGGAUAUGUGCCACGGCCGCAUGGUCUGUGGUUGGAAAGAUUUUUCGGUUGGGGAUGGGCUCGCGGCCUAUCAGCUUGUUGGUGAGGUAAUGGCGCACCAAGGCGUCGACGGGUAGCCGGCCUGAGAGGGUGACCGGCCACACUGGGACUGAGACACGGCCCAGACUCCUACGGGAGGCAGCAGUGGGGAAUAUUGCACAAUGGGCGGAAGCCUGAUGCAGCAACGCCGCGUGAGGGAUGACGGCCUUCGGGUUGUAAACCUCUUUUAGCAGGGAAGAAGCGAAAGUGACGGUACCUGCAGAAAAAGCACCGGCUAACUACGUGCCAGCCGCCGCAGUAAUAC
rnacentral:rRNA from 1 species